ensembl:lncRNA
GAUCGAGGGAGAGGUCGAGAGAGAGAGAGGUCGAGAGAGAGAGAGGGAGAGAGAGAGAGAGAGAGAGGUCGAGAGAGAGAGAGAGGUCGAGAGAGAGAGAGAGAGAGGUCGAGAGAGAGGUCGAGAGAGAGAGAGGUCGAGAGAGAGAGAGAGGUUGAGAGAGAGAGAGAGAGAGGUUGAGUGAGAGAGAGAGAGAGGUUGAGUGAGAGAGAGAGAGAGGUUGAGAGAGAGAGAGGAGGUCGAGAGAGAGAGAGAGAGGUCGAGAGAGAGAGAGAGAGGUCGAGAGAGAGAGAGAGGUCGAGAGAGAGAGAGAGGUCGAGAGAGAGAGAGGUCGAGAGAGAGAGAGAGGUCGAGAGAGAGAGAGAGAGGUCGAGAGAGAGAGAGAGAGGUCGAGAGAGAGAGAGAGAGAGGAGAGAGAGGUCGAGAGAGAGGGAGAGAGAGAGAGAGAGGUCGAGAGAGAGAGAGAGGUCGAGAGAGAGAGAGAGAGGUCGAGAGAGAGAGAGAGGUCGAGAGAGAGAGAGAGGUCGAGAGAGAGAGGUCGAGAGAGAGAGGUCGAGAGAGAGAGGUCGAGAGAGAGAGAGAGGUCGAGAGAGAGAGGUCGAGGGAGAGAGAGGUCGAGAGAGGUCGAGAGUGAGGAGAGAGAGAGAGAGGUUGGGGGAGAGAGAGAGAGAGAGGUCGAGAGAGAGAGAGCGGUCGAGAGAGAGAGGUCGAAAGAGAGAGAGGUCGAGAGGUCGAAAGAGAGAGAGCGAGGUCGAGAGAGAGAGAGAGGUUGAGAGAGAGUGGUCGAGAGAGAGAGAAAAAAAUAUACUUAAAUUCACACAGGACACCGGAUAGGACAGGAGAAGUACUCCAGAUAUAACAAACUGACCCUAGCCCCCCGACACACACUACUGCAGCAUAAAUACUUGAGGCUGAGACAGGAGGGGUCAGGAGACACUGUGGCCCCAUCCGAUGACACCCACGGACAGGGCCAAACAGGAAGGAUAUAACCCCACCCACUUUGCCAAAGCACAGCCCCCACAACACUAGAGGGAUAUCUUCAACCACCAACCUACCAUCCUGAGACAAGCCGAGUAUAUCCCACAAAGAUCUCCGCCACGGCACAACCCAAGGGGGGACGCCAACCCAGACAGGAAGAUCACAUCAGUGACUCAACCCACUCAAGUGACGCACUCCUCCCAGGGACGGCAUGAAAGAGCACCAGCAAGCCAGUGACUCAGCCCCUGUAAUAGGGUUAGAGGCAAAGAAUCCCAGUGGAAAGAGGGGAACUGGCCAGGCAGAGACAGCAAGGGGGUUCGUUGCUCCAGAGCCUUUCCGUUCACCUUCACACUCCUGGGCCAGACUACACUCAAU